rnacentral:rRNA from 1 species
AGAGUUUGAUCCUGGCUCAGGACGAACGCUGGCGGCGUGCUUAACACAUGCAAGUCGAGCGGAAAGGCCCUUUGGGGUACUCGAGCGGCGAACGGGUGAGUAACACGUGAGUAACCUGCCCUCAGCUUUGGGAUAAGCCUGGGAAACUGGGUCUAAUACCGGAUAUGACAUGUCUUCGCAUGGAGGCGUGUGGAAAGUUUUUCGGCUGGGGAUGGGCUCGCGGCCUAUCAGCUUGUUGGUGGGGUAGUGGCCUACCAAGGCGACGACGGGUAGCCGGCCUGAGAGGGCGACCGGCCACACUGGGACUGAGACACGGCCCAGACUCCUACGGGAGGCAGCAGUGGGGAAUAUUGCACAAUGGGCGGAAGCCUGAUGCAGCGACGCCGCGUGGGGGAUGAAGGCCUUCGGGUUGUAAACCUCUUUCAGCACCGACGAAUUUUGACGGUAGGUGCAGAAGAAGCGCCGGCUAACUACGUGCCAGCAGCCGCGGUAAUACGUAGGGCGCAAGCGUUGUCCGGAAUUAUUGGGCGUAAAGAGCUCGUAGGUGGUUUGUUGCGUCUGUCGUGAAAGCCCAUGGCUUAACUGUGGGUCUGCGGUGGAUACGGGCAGACUUGAGGCAGGUAGGGGAGAACGGAAUUCCCGGUGUAGCGGUGAAAUGCGCAGAUAUCGGGAGGAACACCGGUGGCGAAGGCGGUUCUCUGGGCCUGUUCUGACGCUGAGGAGCGAAAGCGUGGGGAGCGAACAGGAUUAGAUACCCUGGUAGUCCACGCUGUAAACGUUGGGCGCUAGGUGUGGGGUUCUUCCACGGAUUCCGCGCCGUAGCUAACGCAUUAAGCGCCCCGCCUGGGGAGUACGGCCGCAAGGCUAAAACUUAAAGGAAUUGACGG